rnacentral:rRNA from 1 species
UACGUAGGGUGCGAGCGUUGUCCGGAAUUAUUGGGCGUAAAGGGCUCGUAGGCGGUCUGUCACGUCGGGAGUGAAAACACGGGGCUUAACCCCGUGCCUGCUUCCGAUACGGGCAGACUGGAGUACUGCAGGGGAGACUGGAAUUCCUGGUGUAGCGGUGGAAUGCGCAGAUAUCAGGAGGAACACCGGUGGCGAAGGCAGGUCUCUGGGCUGACACUGACGCUCAUGCACGAAAGCGUGGGGAGCAAACAGG